rnacentral:rRNA from 1 species
UUUUUUAACAACAUGGUCUUUUGUUUAUAUAUAAGAUCUGACCUGCCCUAUGAUUUAUAUUUAAAUGGCUGCAGUAUUUUGACUGUACAAAGGUAGCAUAAUCAUUUGUCUUUUAAUUGGAGGCUGGUAUGAAUGGUUGGAUGAAAAAUAUACUUUCUUUAUUUUAUAUAAAAAAUUUGAUUUUUUAGUCAAAAAGCUAAAAUGAUUUUAUAGGACGAGAAGACCCUAUAGAACUUUACUUUUAUUUUAUAUAUUUUUUAUAUAUUUUUAAAAAAUUAUAUAUUUUAAUUAGUUGUGUUGGGGUGAUGGAAAAAAUUAUAUAACUUUUUCUAUUAUUUACAUUUAUAUAUGUUUUUUUGACCCUUUAAUAUGGGUAAUAAGAUUAAGUUACCUUAGGGAUAACAGCGUUAUUUUUUCGGAGAGUUCAUAUCGAUGAAAGAGUUUGCGACCUCGAUGUUGGAUUAAAAUAAGUGGCAGAGGUAUAAUAUUGCUUUACUAGGUCUGUUCGACCUUUAAAUUUUUACAUGAC